UACGUAGGGGGCAAGCGUUGUCCGGAAUCAUUGGGCGUAAAGAGCGUGUAGGCGGCUCGAUAAGUCGGCUGUGAAAGUCCAAGGGCUCAACCCUUGGAAUGCCGGCGAUACUGUCGGGCUGAGUCCGGAAGAGGAGUGUGGAAUUCCUGGUGUAGCGGUGAAAUGCGCAGAUAUGUGGAGGAAUACCGAUGGCGAAGGCAGCCCCCUGGGAUAACACUGACGCUCAUGCACGAAAGCGUGGGGAGCAAACAAGG
rnacentral:rRNA from 1 species